UGGGACCAGCUUCCUUGCGUGCCUGCAGACCCAGCAACUUCCCAGGGAAGGAAGGGCAGUUUGUGGCAGUUCCUGUAUUUCUGGUACCUCUUUAGGGCCCCGUGCAGCCCCUGUGUGGAACUGGCCCCCGUUUCGCCCACCUGCAUUUCUAACGUACUUGUCACUGGCCCUAUGAUCGUUUCCCAGCUCUUCCGCUGGCCAACUGGAAAUUAACCCUUGGAGAGGACGUGUGGAGAUCUCAAAGUCACGGAGGGGCCCAGGAGCUUCCUAGGAUCCUUAUCCAAGCGAUACCCAGAAACUCCCGGCACAGGGAGGGCAUUGCAAGACUGAGAGCUCAUCGGGACAGUGACUGUCUCUACAUCCCGGGUCUGCACCAGCCAGAGUGACACGGCCCCACCACCACCUCAAGAGUGAGGCCCCAGUGAUGCCAAGGACGGGAGACACCGUAACCAGCUGAGCAAAGCACAGACAGAAUCAAGAGGGCACAGAGAGGAGGACGGGUGC